rnacentral:rRNA from 1 species
UACGGAGGGGGCGAGCGUUGUUCGGAAUCACUGGGCGUAAAGCGUGCGUAGGCGGUUAUACAAGUCAGGAGUGAAAUCCCAGGGCUCAACCUUGGAAUUGCUCUUGAGACUGUAUGACUAGAGACCUAGAGAGGUUGGGGGAAUUCCCAGUGUAGCAGUGAAAUGCGCAGAUAUUGGGAGGAACACCAGUGGCGUAGGCGCCCAACUGGCUAGGUACUGACGCUGAGGCACGAAAGCGUGGGGAGCAAACAGG